rnacentral:rRNA from 1 species
UACGUAGGGUGCGAGCGUUGUCCGGAAUUAUUGGGCGUAAAGAGCUUGUAGGCGGUCUGUCGCGUCUGCUGUGAAAAUCCGGGGCUCAACCCCGGACUUGCAGUGGGUACGGGCAGACUAGAGUGUGGUAGGGGAGACUGGAAUUCCUGGUGUAGCGGUGAAAUGCGCAGAUAUCAGGAGGAACACCGGUGGCGAAGGCGGCAUCCUGGACCGAGAUUGACACUGAUGAGCGAAAGCCAGGGGAGCAAACGGG